rnacentral:rRNA from 1 species
GACAGAGGUGGCAAGCGUUGUUCGGAUUCAUUGGGUGUAAAGGGCAGGUAGGUGGUUUUAUAAGUCCGGCGUGAAAUCCCAGGGCUCAACCCUGGAACUGCGUUGGAAACUAUAUGACUUGAGUACCGGAGAGGUUAGGGGAAUUCUCGGUGUAAGGGUGAAAUCUGUAGAUAUCGAGAGGAACACCAGUGGCGAAGGCGCCUAACUGGCCGGUUACUGACACUGAGCCGCGAAAGCGUGGGUAGCAAACGGG